GAAAUGCGAUAAGUAAUGUGUAUUGCAGAAUUCAGUGAAUCAUCGAAUCUUUGAACGCACCUUGCACUCCUUGGUAUUCCGAUGAGCAGGCCUGUUCGAGUGUCAUGAAACCCUCAAACCCAAGUUUUGAAGUUCUAUCCAUGCUUGAGUUUGGAUUUGGAUGUUUGCCGGUGAUGAACCGACUCAUCUUAAAAGUAUUAGCUUGGAUCUGUCUAUAUGACUGGUUUGACUUGGCAUAAUAAGUAUUUUGCUGAGGACAUCUUCGGAUGGCCAGGACCUAGACUACUGUCUGCUAACUAAACCAUCACUUUAAGUGCAUCUUUGGAUGUUACUCAUUGUGUAACUUUGACAUCUGGCCUCAAAUCAAGUAGGACUACCCGCUGAACUUAA
rnacentral:misc_RNA from 1 species